GAUUGGGGAGGGGCAGGAGAGGAGGGAUGUAAACAAAGGCAAACUCCCUUAGUUUCCAUUCCAUUGCUCCCAAACUCCUUCAAACCCUUAGGGAGCACCGGCCAGCUCGCUAGGCUUGUGCUGGGUCUGGACUCCAUUUCCCAGAGUUCCUCGGCGCCUAGUGCGUGGGUGCACGUCGGAGCGCGCCUGCGCGCUGGUGGCUCCGCGUCCCGGGGCAGCGGAAGUUCGCGCAGUGUUCAGAGCCGGGGCUAUUGCUCCACACGUGCUUGCGGCGGUCUUUUGCUGUACACCUUCCAUUCCAGGCAGUUUGCGAGCGCAACACCCGGCCGGCCCCGCUGCUUCUCCUUCCGCUGCUGUCGCUGGGUCCGAGGCCACCCCCACGCGCCGGGGACUUUGCCUGCCCCUCACGCUCCGCCUUGCUGCACCUGCGUGUCCUGGAGCGCGCCGCCGGGCUCCCCGCCAAUUCCCCCGGCAAGUGCGGAGACCAGGGAGGGGCGUGGACGCGGGUGCGAGGGCGGCUGGCGGCUCGGGGACCCGGCUCUGGGUGCGCUGCCCAGCGAGCCGGCGCCCCGAUCCGGGCUGUGGCGGCUCCGACCGCAGCCUUCCAGCCUCCCGGCGCCCCGCGGGCCCCGUGCGCUGCUUCCCUCCAACUUUCCGUCAUGCAUUUUGUUCUGGGGGAGCCUGGCAGGCGAGAGGACGGCGGAGGAAGGCAGCGGGACUCCCCUCGUCCAUAUUUUCAUCGAGCCCCGGUCCCACUUUGGCUUCGUGGAGAGAAUGCCCUCUGGCCGGGCUUCCUGGUCAACCCUGCGGCGGUUCCCGCGGCAGAGCGGGGCUGGUGGCCCCCAGCAAGGAGCCCGGGGCGGCGGGCAGAUGGCUCAGCCUCGCUGCCCCCACUCCGCACGCGCACAGCCCGCAAGUGUGUUUCCCACGGCAGUGCUCGUGUCCUGCUACUGUGUGAAGAGCUGCCUAGAGACAGCCGUCGGCCCACCUGCUGAAGAAGCGUAUUGCAUGGAUGUUCAUCUGACUGGGAGACGGCCGAGAAUAGGAUGUGUCAACUUGGCAGGUCAUUCCCUGUGCUCCUGGACUUGCUAG
rnacentral:lncRNA from 1 species